AAAAAAGUUUGUUCAUUUGUUAUAUAAUGUAUAUUACACAAUAUACAUCAGGUAGAGUUAUACAUAUAUAACUGGAACUAUUCCGAGUAUUACGAAGAUAAUAAUUUUACUCAAUGGUUACUCGAAGAAAAUACGAUCUGAAUAUCAGGAAAGGCAUGGUUUAGAAACACGUGAUAAUUUAAUGUGAUUUCUUCAUAAGAGAAUGCACAGAAAAUAUCUGAUGUUUAAAAUGUUUAGAGAUUAUCAUUUGCAAUUUUUUUCUAAUAUUGUACCAAAUAAAUAGCUAUUUUCAAUACUCCUCUAAUUGGCCAGGUUAAAGGAGUAGAUAGAUGUAGCACCACUCCUGUUGAAUUGGAGUUAAUGGUGUCAUGCCACGGGAAGUACAAUUAUAGCACGAGACUUGUGGCGAUUGGAGCAUCCUUCGAUUAAACACGGACCUAUCGUUAGGGGCAACAUGUCCAUACACAAUGACCUUCGUCGUAAUGAUACAGCAUUGCAGCUACUCAUUCUUUGAUGAGAAACUUCUUUUUAAACACCGAAAAUUAACGUGAAACUUUGAAACAAACGCCUCGAUCGCGUGCACUAUGAUGUAAUAUUAAAUUUGGAUUCCUUUCAUAUCCAUCAAUUUAAUUGCUCCUCAACUUCUAUCGCUUGGCUGUAACAUCGUAGUUCUUGCCAUUUUAUACAUGCGAUACGUACGUACGUAUAUGUACAUAUUCGUGCAACGAAUCAUAAAUUGUUCCUCCGUGUUUACUUCGAUCAAACAACUUUCAUGUAACAAUACAUCGAACACAUCCUUUUUUAACGAAUUCAUCCUAGUCUUCUUGUCAAAAGAAGUAAACACUUUCUGUAAAAAAAAAGGAAAA